AUUGAACGCUGGCGGCAGGCCUAACACAUGCAAGUCGAACGAGUGGCGGACGGGUGAGUAAUGUCUGGGAAACUGCAUGAUGGAGGGGGAUAACUACUGGAAACGGUAGCUAAUACCGCAUACCAUCAGAUGUGCCCAGCUGGGAUUAGCUAGUAGGUGGGGUAACGGCUAACCUAGGCGACGAUACCUAGCUGGUCUGAGAGGAUGACCAGCCACCCUGGAACUGAGAAACGGUCCCGACUCCUACGGGAGGCAGCAGUGGGUAAUAUUGCACAAUGGGCGCAAGCCUGAUGCAGCCAUGCAGCGUGUGUGAAGAAGGCCUUCGGGUUGUAAAGCACUUUCAGCGGGGAGGCGUUACCCGCAGAAGAAGCACCGGCUAACUCCGUGCCAGCAGCCGCGGUAAUAC
rnacentral:rRNA from 1 species